rnacentral:rRNA from 1 species
AAAGCAUUAGCUACAAAAGAUACCCCUAAAUGUUUUGUAAAAAGUGGGUUUAAACAAUAACAGUAUAAAUAAAGUUUAGUACCUUUUGCAUAAGGGUUUUUCGAGAUAAAUUUAAGAAUUUAAUUUUCCCGAAUGAAAGAGAGUUAUUUUAUAAAGUUAAAAAUCGUGGUAGAGAUUUCAUUAAAUUAUAAAAUAGAGGCUAGAUACUAUUCGCGCUUUCAGAUAUCUGGUUGGCUUAGAAAUAUGUGUAAGCAUUACUCUUAAAUAUUUAAGGAGCAAAAUUCUUUGGGUUAAGCUGAAAAAUGUUAAAAUUGAUGCCAACAAAAAAAUUGGUUUUUAUAGGCUUUAAACUAGCCACUAGGCACAAAUUUAUUUUAACUAAAACCAAACGGCGAAAAAAUUAAUUAGGGCUGUCAUUUACUUUGGAAUAGGCCUGUGGUUGUAGAACUAAAAAUUAUGAUAAAAACGAGUAAAAAUAUUUUUUGGUUGGUGUGACCUUACUGUUACACCUUAAAAAACUAACUGUGUUAUAAAACUUUUUAAACGAACUCGGCAAACUAAACUUCUCGACUGUUUAACAAAAACAUUUCCUUUUGAUAUAAGUAAAAGGUAGUCCCUGCCCUAUGCAACUAAACUAACGUUUGUUGUAAAUGGCGGCGUUAACGUGAUCGUCCUAAGGUAGCGCGAUAAUUUGCUUUUUAAUUGAAGGAUGGUAUGAAAGGGUUAACGAAGAAGAUGCUGUAUCUAAAAAUUNAAUUUAAACUAACUUUAAGGUGAAGAGGCCUUUAUGUAAAAGAAGGACGACAAGACCCUAUGAAGCUUUAUCUUAAUUGAAGGUUUCAGGCUUUUAUACGAUUUUGAUGGGAGAUCAGUAAAAAUAAGUCUUUUACUAUAACGUCAAUCUUACUAGAAUUUACUAAUUUUAUAUGUGUGAUUAGCUACUCUAGGGAUAACAGCGCAAUUUCCCCCGAAAGAUGGUAUUGGAGGGGAAGAUUGCGACCUCGAUGUUGGCUUUAGGUGUCCUAGAGGUGUAGAAGCCUCUAAGGGUGGGUCUGUUCGCCCUUUAAAAUCUAACAUGAGCUGAGUUCAGAACGGCGUGAGCUAGUUCAGUUUCUAUCCUCUUUUAAAAAUAAGCUAAUUUUGUACGAAAGGACUUUUUCGCUAAAGUAAUGCUUUGGCCCAGCCCUAUAAUUACACAAAUAUUAAUACAUGACGAGCUGAUCAACUCAUAAAAAGGGCUG